UUAAGAGUAUAUAAAUAUGUGUGACACUCACAUUUGCUUUUGCUAUAGCUUAUUAUACAUGCUUCUCUAUGAGAGUAUAUCAUAUAUGGUUUGAUUAAAUUGUUUUAGUUAUAUACAACAUAUAUAUUCUUCAUUUUUAUUUAUAUAGGGCUAUAUGGUGGUUGGAAAUGAAUUGAAAAGAGAGAUUAUGGUUGAUGGGAAUGUUGUUUGGCUCGAGGUAAUAACUAACUCAAUUUCUUUGUCUUUGAAAGCUUUUCUUUGUUUCACUCUUUUUGAUUCUUAGAAAGUUGAAACUAAGUGAGCUUUAAAGGUUUGAUUUUGAUGUGUGAUUAUCUCGGACCAGGCUUCAUUCCUACCAAC
rnacentral:lncRNA from 1 species